CAGUCGCCGCGGGAAUACGUAGGUCUCGAGCGUUGUCCGGAUUUAUUGGGCGUAAGGCGAGCGCAGGCGGUUAGAUAAGUCUGAAGUUAAAGGCUGUGGCUUAACCAUAGUACGCUUUGGAAACUGUUUAACUUGAGUGCAAGAGGGGAGAGUGGAAUUCCAUGUGUAGCGGUGAAAUGCGUAGAUAUAUGGAGGAACACCGGUGGCGAAAGCGGCUCUCUGGCUUGUAACUGACGCUGGGGCUUGAAAGCGCGGGGAGCAAACAGGAUUAGAUACCCCCGUAGUCCCUGUCUCUUAUACC
rnacentral:rRNA from 1 species